rnacentral:lncRNA from 1 species
AGGGAAGAAAACUGAGACCUAGAAAGGUGAAGCGGUUGUCCCAAAGGCUUCCAGCUGCUCCCAGUACUCAAGGACUUGGAGCACACUUGGGGAAAUGCUCACUGUUGUAUUCCCGUUCCUCACUAUCCAGGAGGCCUGAACUCUCAAACUCCGAAUCUGAUUUCCACUCUCCCAGGAAGUCUUCGGAAAUCACUGUGGAUUGUCAAUACAGGAGUCCAUACUGACUGAAUCCCUAAUUUUGGCCUGUAUUCUUCUCCCUCUGUGAACCAUCUUCUUAGAAGUCACUGAACCAAGAGUGCCAGAAAACCAUCCCAAGACUCACACAGAGUUGUUCUUCCAUAGUGGAUGUUUUGGCCACUGGACAUCAGAACCACAUUUUGGGUUUGAAGAAUCUUCUACAUGUGAUGAUCCAGUAAAUGAUUUCAUAGUCCACCAAACGGUCACGGUUCACACUUGGAGACACCCAAUGCAGGUCUCUGCUGGCUGAGUGCACUGGCUUGUGGCUGGAGGUGAGUGCUCAGGACCACAGAGGGAUAAAGAACCUCUAUAACUCAACAACAACAAAAAAACAA